rnacentral:lncRNA from 1 species
AUUUUGUACAAAAUUUAAAAAAAAACGAUUUCUUACUAAAUUUGACAAAUAUGUUAUAGUUAUUACUAUGUCAUUUAUUAAGAGCUAUAAUAAAUGCAACUGUAAGUUUAUUUUCCUCCGAUGACAAGAAAAAAAAUCGUUUAUGUCCCGAUUUAAGCACCAGUUAUCAAUCCGGAUUUUCCGAUUUUACCGACACCGUGACCGACUUUUAGAAUGAUAGGAGAAGAAUGUGGUCUCUUUUGCGCUUGAUUACACCUAGUAAACGAGUGCUUGAAUAAAAGCGCCGAUAGACAUCGACAAAAUCUUCGAUCUUUUAUCAAAGUUUUUUCUCGUGAUUUAAUAAAAAUAAAAAGCAGAUAUGGGAAAAUUGAAGAGGACCGG